AGCUUGGAUUUUUUGGUUAAACUUUUGGUUAAAUUAUUUAGCCCCCUUCCCUGUUUGUUAGCACGUGUAGAGUGGUACCAUGCCGGAUGUUUUCCUGUUUAAUUCACUACCAUAGUCUUCAUCCUAGCAGCAACAGUGAGCUCACUACAACCUCUCAUAUACAACCAAGUGAAAUCACGGUCAACUCGCGAUUAAUUUCUAACGCGUUUAAUGUUUCAAAUUAACCUAACAGAAAUUAUUAAACACGUUAAGUUUGACAGCACUAAAUGGCACGAUCAUUUUCGUAAUCAUGAUACACACUAAUGUUGAG